rnacentral:rRNA from 1 species
UACAGAGGGUGCAAGCGUUAAUCGGAAUUACUGGGCGUAAAGGGCGCGUAGGCGGUGUAUUAAGUUAGAUGUGAAAUCCCUGGGCUCAACCUAGGAACUGCAUCUGAUACUGGUACGCUAGAGUGCAGUAGAGGGUAGUGGAAUUUCCGGUGUAGCGGUGAAAUGCGUAGAUAUCGGAAGGAACACCAGUGGCGAAGGCGGCUACCUGGACUGACACUGACGCUGAGGCGCGAAAGCGUGGGGAGCGAACAGG